rnacentral:lncRNA from 1 species
GACCCCGCUAAGGAGCUGAGGUGGAAGAGUUGGAGAAGGAUUUUUGGGAGAAGAAGACAAUCUCGAGAGGGGCCGUGAGUACGGCCAAGAUGGACUGAAACUUUAUCUUCUUUGAUAUCUCCAUUUUGAUGUGAAUAGAGUUUAGAAUAAAAAGAUGUGAAGUGUUCUGGUUUGUGGUUUGUAUAAAAGUUUGGUUAUAAAUUUUCAAUAUGAAAAAUAUGGCCCUGCUUUUCUAUCC